AGCCGCGCUGUUCGGCGGGGUUCAAAUCUCAACAUGUUUUAACAUAACUACUCUGAGUUAGACUGAAUGUUUAUUUUGUGUGUGUACUUUUACGCUAAAAAACGUAACUUGAAAUUACAGAGGUGGGGGUGUUCUAUGCAAAACUAGUUUAAUGUGAUGCAACUCCACUGUGCUAAUCACUGUGAGCUGCAGCCGGUGAAGCCAUUUUUUCCAGUCAUUAGCACUAGCGGUCGUUCUGCAUCGGGCCUACAUACAUUACCGAAAAUCCUCGCUAAAGCUACCCUGCACCCGAGAAAUGUAACUACAUGUUCACAAGGACUGUGAUUACUGCCUAGGCUUCAGAGGUGUUUUCUGGUUACUUAUGUAGGCACUGCCACUCAAUUAACAAGUGGGAGCAGCUUUUAGCGGUUAGCAUUCGUUUGCUAAUUAGCAUUAGCAUUUCUGGCUAGAACCCUGUUGUGUUAACUUCUCUUACCCACUUCUCUUUCCAGGCCUAGAACCAAGAAUCAUCAAACCACAUAAGAUUGUCAUGGCAAGUUCAAAACCUGCAAGACUGAAGGUGAUUCUAG